rnacentral:rRNA from 1 species
GACGAACGCUGGCGGCGUGCUUAACACAUGCGAGUCGAACGGAAAGGCCCCUUUGGGGGUACUCGAGUGGCGAACGGGUGAGUAACACGUGAGUAACCUGCCCUUGACUUCGGGAUAACUUCAGGAAACUGGGGCUAAUACCGGAUAGGAAUCCUUGCUGCAUGGUGGGGGUUGGAAAGCUUCGGCGGUUUUGGAUGGACUCGCGGCUUAUCAGCUUGUUGGUGGGGUGGUGGCUUACCAAGGCUUUGACGGGUAGCCGGCCUGAGAGGGCGACCGGCCACAUUGGGACUUAGGUACGGCCCAGACUCCGACGGGAGGCAGCAGUGGGGAAUAUUGCACAAUGGGCGGAAGCCUGAUGCAGCAACGCCGCGUGCGGGAUGACGGCCUUCGGGUUGUAAACCGCUUUCAGCAGGGGCGAAGCUUGUGGUGACGGUACCUGCAGAAGAAGCACCGGCUAACUACGUG